rnacentral:rRNA from 1 species
AUUGAACGCUGGCGGCAGGCCUAACACAUGCAAGUCGAACGAGUGGCGGACGGGUGAGUAAUGUCUGGGAAACUGCCCGAUGGAGGGGGAUAACUACUGGAAACGGUAGCUAAUACCGCAUACCAUCGGAUGUGCCCAGAUGGGAUUAGCUAGUAGGUGGGGUAACGGCUCACCAAGGCGACGAUCCCUAGCUGGUCUGAGAGGACGACCAGCCACACUGGAACUGAGACACGGCCCAGACUCCUACGGGAGGCAGCAGUGGGGAAUUUUGGACAAUGGGGGAAAGCCUGAUCCAGCCAUCCCGCGUGUACGAAGAAGGCCUUCGGGUUGUAAAGCACUUUUAGCAGGAAGGCGUUACCUGCAGAAGAAGCACCGGCUAACUCCGUGCCAGCAGCCGCGGUAAUAC